UUAAACGUCCAUACCACGUUGAAUACAGUGGUUCUCGUCCGAUCACCGAAGUUAAGCAACGUCGGGCGCGGUCAGUACUUGGAUGGGUGACCGCCUGGGAACACCGCGUGACGUUGGCU
rnacentral:rRNA from 1 species